rnacentral:rRNA from 1 species
UACGAAGGGGGCUAGCGUUGUUCGGAAUUACUGGGCGUAAAGGGCGCGUAGGCGGCCAUUCAAGUCAGGGGUGAAAGCCUGUGGCUCAACCACAGAAUUGCCUUUGAUACUGUUUGGCUAGAGACCGGAAGAGGUAAGUGGAACUGCGAGUGUAGAGGUGAAAUUCGUAGAUAUUCGCAAGAACACCAGUGGCGAAGGCGGCUUACUGGUCCGGUUCUGACGCUGAGGCGCGAAAGCGUGGGGAGCAAACAGG